rnacentral:rRNA from 1 species
UACGUAGGGGCCUAGCGUUGUCCGGAAUUAUUGGGCGUAAAGAGCUCGUAGGCGGUUCGGCAAGUCGGAUGUGAAAUCUCCACGCUCAACGUGGAGGGGCCAUUCGAAACUGCCGUGACUCGAGUCCGGUAGGGGAGUGUGGAAUUCCCGGUGUAGCGGUGAAAUGCGCAGAUAUCGGGAGGAACACCAGAGCGAAGGCGGCACUCUGGGCCGGUACUGACGCUGAGGAGCGAAAGCGAUGG